rnacentral:lncRNA from 1 species
UAUCACAUAAAUUCAUCGCAAAAGGGACUUGUUGUUAUUUGUUACUCUUCGAUGGACAACAAUUUAUUCUCCAUUUCACACUUUCAAUUUCUGGAUUUGAAGGUUGGAAGAGCAUUCAAAUAAGAAAAUGGAUUUUCGGGUUUUUUUCCUUCACAACAAGAUUUGUGUAUUCUGAUUACUUACUCGAUCUCGCUAUAAAAUUCCGGGCUUUGACAUCAUCAUCAUCUCCUUCCUCAACCACCAGCUGCAUCGUUACUUCUGGCACUGAUGUCCAACAACCACCAGCAGAUUCGUGUUUGAAUAUUGGGUUUUAAGGUGAGAUGAGUUGGGGAUGAUUUUUGUUUCCCAAGUUUGGAUGAAGUUUACAAAAUAGGCAUGAUUUUCAUUUCCCAUACGGGAUGUGUUAGAUUUUGUAAAUUUUUGUUAGAUUUGGAUGAUUUUUGCUUUGUUUCCCAGGGGUUGCUUAGAGUUAGUUCCUUUCAUUCUUACAUUGUCUUGCUGCUACUGCUUUAUGUCAUUUUUUUUUUUUACUUUAUGCUUUAUGUCAUUUUAAUUCUUGCAUUUGCUUCCCUAUUGUUAUUGGUUUUGUUAAGUUAUUUUAGGGGUUUUGUGUGUACAUUUGAUUUUUAAGUUAGCAAAUUUGUUUAUUAUGAAUUUGAAGGUGAGAUGAUUUUAGUAUGAAUUUGUUUUAAUUUUUUUGUAUUUUAUUAUCU